GGGGGAACGACGGCGAUCGGGUAAGUACAUUUUACCGUUAGGACGGUUCAGGACUGUCAGCGGUCCGCAAUGCAAAAAUGCCAAUGAUUGUCCUGAACUGUCCUCUGUCCUUAAGGGGUUAAACCCCUCCAAACAACUUGUGGUGAUAUAGGGGAUGUUGGAUUGUAGUGUUGAUGACUUUCUGACCCCAAGCCUCAACGUCUGCAAUUUUCCAGCUGUGAUCCUUGGAAAUGUUUUGACCAUCAAACGAUCCUCUUCACAGUGUGUUGAGACAAUAUAGAAACAUGCCGUCAUACAUAAUGCAUAACAUUUCCUGUAGCCUGGAACAUCAUUAAUGCCCAGAUGGUGGAAAUAGGCACAACUUUUUGCACGCAUCACAGCAAUAUUGCUUGGUCUUACCCAUUGUGAUGAAUGACUAAGGGAAUUUGACUUAUGUGUUACCUUAUAUUAAUACCUAUGUGAAACAGGAAGUCAUGGUUGAACAAUUUCCUGUUCCUAGGCAUAUAAUUAAAAUAUAUUUUUCUCAUAUGAAUUCAUAUUGAUCCACACACAAAAGGUUAGACAACAAAGAUAUAUUUUGCACAGUCUUCUUUGCUAAUGGGUGUUGACCUUAAUAAACCCUGACUUUUUAGAGUGUAUAGAUUUGUAAUAAAGUACACGGUAAAAUUAGAAAUUGUAAUUACUUCUGAAAAGGCAGUACAUAAGGGCCAUUAACAUCCCAGGAGAUCAUACUUAAAGGGGGUCUAUUCACCAAACUAAGUUGUUGCUUCAAACUACUACAGUGGCAAUG